CCUGCUUUUCCUGUGAAAAAAAACGUAUUUUACUAUUUAUUUAGAUUUUGUUAGAAUUAUCUCCCCUGUUGCGCUCUUCUGUAGAGUAGGUAGAUAAUGAUUAUGUUUACGAAGUUUAUAAACAGAUGUCUGUCAUCUUAUCGUUUAAGGCAUAAAUUAUGUGUGAUUUGAAGAAAAUUGUCCCUCCUGUGAAUGUAAUUUGUUACGUAUAUACUAGUGGCCUAUGUAUAAAAUGCAUAAAAAAUUAUGAAAACCAUCGGGAUCGAUGUACGGUUCCGUAACCACGUGUAAACAUUAUGGCAUCCUGAGACGUUUUUUUACCGUUUUGUACGUCCUCAGAAAAAGAUUCAGGUGCGUGAAUUGUUAACGAGUCUUCAGAUUCUGGCUCUGAUUUUGAUGAAUAUGAUUCUGACAGCGAACAUUCAUUUGGUAGCAAGACGGGUGUAGUGAUGAUGAUACCGAAUCAACAAUGUUUGAAUUUGAAAAAGAAACAGAUAUUUAUGAAAUGUUAUGAAGAUGGCUACAGUUAUGAUUUUCGGCUUUUCAUAUAUGAUUAAAGGAAAAAGAGUUGUCAAAUACUUGUGCAGACUUUUCAAAUUAAAGGUCACCAUGUGUUCCUUGACAGAUUAUUCAAAUUCAUUUCCCUGGUUAGGGCUGGGCUUUACAAUGGGAUUUUCAGCUGUGGAGCUGUAAAGAAUUACUACAUUAUAAGGGUUUCCAAUGUAGCUUUGUGAACAGAAUCCAGAAAUAAGAAGAGGAGAGAUAAUGCAGAUGCAGCAUUAGCAUUACCAAUUACUUACCACUGCUGAGAAAAUGGUACAUGCUUUGAGUACUACUUUUGUGUAUUUGGAGACAGUCCAGUUGUUCUUUAAACCAGAAGUGGAAAUUUCAGUGCUUUUUAAAUUUUCUCCAGAAGUUAUUUGAUGCUACAUCAGAAGAAAAUGGGGUUAUACUGAACAGAAUAUUUUGGAUACACCUUAUAGAUUUUGAAAGCUUGAGACCUCAAGAUCAACCCAAAUGGUGUACCAAACAUGAAGAAAAAAAGACAGUUUAUGAUUGAAGAAGCUUGUGUGGUAGCCAAAAUUUCAGGGUAUUUCAUAUAUGUUAACUUGUACGAUUUUAUUGGUACAUGUACUUAAACAUUGUUAAUAUCUUGAUAUUUAAUAUGUAUCAGGUUUCACUUGCAGGAAUACACAAAAAUUCAGAGUAAAUUUUAAGUGUUUGUUAUGUUAGAAAAGAUCAAAGUUCAAGGUCAACAGUGCUUUAGUUUUACCAAAUAUAACACUAUUAUAAAGACUAAUUUCCUGUGUACAGGUAUAGCAAAUUAUUCAGAAUAUGAUUUGGGGAAACUGUGAUUUUUUUCUUUUAAAUCUUACCUUAAUGUAUACUUAAGCAAGUAGAUUUUUUUCAAGCAGACAAAAUUUCAAGAUCAUUUUAAUUUUGGAAGUGAAUAUAAAAUAUCAGGAAGCAGUCAAGCAUUGUAAUUUUUUGUUGUUGAAUGUACUUAGUUAGUGAGUAAUAUUCAAAUUUUUAUCUGCAAUGAAAUUAAAAAUUAUAAAUGAUUUAAUUUGUUGAUUUUUAAAACUUCAUGUUCAUUCAUUUUG